rnacentral:rRNA from 1 species
AAUAUUGGACAAUGGGCGAAAGCUUGAUCCAGCCAUCCCGCGUGUGUGAAGAAGGUCUUCGGAUUNUAAGGCACUUCAAGUUGGGGNGAAGGGCAGUAAGUUAAUACCUUGCUGUUUUGAUUUUCCCGACAGCAUAAGCACCGGAUAACUUUGUGCCGGCAGCCGCGGUAAUACGAAGUGUGCAAGCGUUAAUCGGAAUUACUGGGCGUAAAGCACGCGUAGGUGGUUCAUUAAGUUGGAUGUGAAAGCCCCGGGCUCAACCUGGGAACUGCAUCCAAAACUGGCGAGCUAGAGUACGGUAGAGGGUGGUGGAAUUUCCUGUGUAGCGGUGAAAUGCGUAGAUAUAGGAAGGAACACCAGUGGCGAAGGCGACCACCUAGACUGAUACUGACACUGAGGUGCGAAAGCGUGGGGAGCAAACAGG